rnacentral:rRNA from 1 species
CCUACGGGGGGCAGCAGUGGGGAAUAUUGCACAAUGGGGGAAACCCUGAUGCAGCGACGCCGCGUGAGUGAAGAAGUAUUUCGGUAUGUAAAGCUCUAUCAGCAGGGAAGAAGUAGCGACCUUUGGGUCGCCAGACGGUACCUGAUUAAGAAGCCCCGGCUAACUACGUGCCAGCAGCCGCGGUAAUACGUAGGGGGCAAGCGUUAUCCGGAUUUACUGGGUGUAAAGGGAGUGCAGGCGGCUUGGCAAGUCUGAUGUGAAAGGCUGGGGCUCAACCCCAGGACUGCAUUGGAAACUGUUAGGCG